rnacentral:rRNA from 1 species
GAUAAACGCUAGCGGCAGGCCUAACACAUGCAAGUCGAGGGGUAAGGCUCUUUCGGGAGUACACGACCGGCGCACGGGUGAGUAACGCGUUUGCAACCUACCUUUAACUGGGGCAUAGCCCGGAGAAAUUCGGAUUAAUACCCCAUAAUAUCAUAAAGAGACAUCUCUUAUUGAUUAAAGCUCCGGCGGUUAAAGAUGGGCAUGCGUGUCAUUAGCUUGUUGGUGAGGUAACUGCUCACCAAGGCAACGAUGACUAGGGGGUCUGAGAGGAUGAUCCCCCACACUGGUACUGAGACACGGACCAGACUCCUACGGGAGGCAGCAGUGAGGAAUAUUGGGCAAUGGACGCAAGUCUGACCCAGCCAUGCCGCGUGCAGGAUGACGGCUCUAUGAGUUGUAAAACUGCUUUUGUUAGGGAAGAACUGUUCCUACGUGUAGGGAUUUGACGGUACCUAACGAAUAAGCAUCGGCUAACUCCGUGCCAGCAGCCGCGGUAA